rnacentral:rRNA from 1 species
AUUGAACGCUGGCGGCAGGCCUAACACAUGCAAGUCGAGCGGAUGAAGGGAGCUUGCUCCUGGAUUCAGCGGCGGACGGGUGAGUAAUGCCUAGGAAUCUGCCUGGUAGUGGGGGAUAACGUCCGGAAACGGGCGCUAAUACCGCAUACGUCCUGAGGGAGAAAGUGGGGGAUCUUCGGACCUCACGCUAUCAGAUGAGCCUAGGUCGGAUUAGCUAGUUGGUGGGGUAAAGGCCUACCAAGGCGACGAUCCGUAACUGGUCUGAGAGGAUGAUCAGUCACACUGGAACUGAGACACGGUCCAGACUCCUACGGGAGGCAGCAGUGGGGAAUAUUGGACAAUGGGCGAAGGCCUGAUCCAGCCAUGCCGCGUGUGUGAAGAAGGUCUUCGGAUUGUAAAGCACUUUAAGUUGGGAGGAAGGGCAGUAAGUAAAUACCUUGCUGUUUUGACGUUACCAACAGAAUAAGCACCGGCUAACUUCGUG